rnacentral:tRNA from 1 species
AGGACAGUAGCUCAAUUGGCAGAGCAUCGGUCUCCAAAACCGGCGGUUGUGGGUUCGAGUCCCUCCUGUCCUGCCA